rnacentral:rRNA from 1 species
GGUCAAGUGAAGAAGCGCAUACGGUGGAUGCCUUGGCAGUCAGAGGCGAUGAAAGACGUGGUAGCCUGCGAAAAGCUUCGGGGAGUCGGCAAACAGACUUUGAUCCGGAGAUCUCUGAAUGGGGGAACCCACCUAGGAUAACCUAGGUAUCUUGUACUGAAUCCAUAGGUGCAAGAGGCGAACCAGGGGAACUGAAACAUCUAAGUACCCUGAGGAAAAGAAAUCAACCGAGAUUCCCUUAGUAGUGGCGAGCGAACGGGGAUUAGCCCUUAAGCUUCAUUGAUUUUAGCGGAACGCUCUGGAAAGUGCGGCCAUAGUGGGUGAUAGCCCCGUACGCGAAAGGAUCUUUGAAGUGAAAUCGAGUAGGACGGAGCACGAGAAACUUUGUCUGAACAUGGGGGGACCAUCCUCCAAGGCUAAAUACUACUGACUGACCGAUAGUGAACCAGUACCGUGAGGGAAAGGCGAAAAGAACCCCGGAGAGGGGAGUGAAAUAGAACCUGAAACCGUAUGCGUACAAGCAGUGGGAGCCUACUUGUUAGGUGACUGCGUACCUUUUGUAUAAUGGGUCAGCGACUUAUAUUCAGUGGCAAGCUUAACCGUAUAGGGUAGGCGUAGCGAAAGCGAGUCUUAAUAGGGCGUUUAGUCGCUGGGUAUAGACCCGAAACCGGGCGAUCUAUCCAUGAGCAGGUUGAAGGUUAGGUAACACUGACUGGAGGACCGAACCCACUCCCGUUGAAAAGGUAGGGGAUGACUUGUGGAUCGGAGUGAAAGGCUAAUCAAGCUCGGAGAUAGCUGGUUCUCCUCGAAAGCUAUUUAGGUAGCGCCUCAUGUAUCACUCUGGGGGGUAGAGCACUGUUUCGGCUAGGGGGUCAUCCCGACUUACCAAACCGAUGCAAACUCCGAAUACCCAGAAGUGCCGAGCAUGGGAGACACACGGCGGGUGCUAACGUCCGUCGUGAAAAGGGAAACAACCCAGACCGCCAGCUAAGGUCCCAAAGUUGUGGUUAAGUGGUAAACGAUGUGGGAAGGCUUAGACAGCUAGGAGGUUGGCUUAGAAGCAGCCACCCUUUAAAGAAAGCGUAAUAGCUCACUAGUCGAGUCGGCCUGCGCGGAAGAUGUAACGGGGCUCAAACCACACACCGAAGCUGCGGGUGUCACGUAAGUGACGCGGUAGAGGAGCGUUCUGUAAGCCUGUGAAGGUGAGUUGAGAAGCUUGCUGGAGGUAUCAGAAGUGCGAAUGCUGACAUGAGUAACGACAAUGGGUGUGAAAAACACCCACGCCGAAAGACCAAGGGUUCCUGCGCAACGUUAAUCGACGCAGGGUUAGUCGGUUCCUAAGGCGAGGCUGAAAAGCGUAGUCGAUGGGAAACAGGUUAAUAUUCCUGUACUUCUGGUUACUGCGAUGGAGGGACGGAGAAGGCUAGGCCAGCUUGGCGUUGGUUGUCCAAGUUUAAGGUGGUAGGCUGAAAUCUUAGGUAAAUCCGGGGUUUCAAGGCCGAGAGCUGAUGACGAGUCGUCUUUUAGAUGACGAAGUGGUUGAUGCCAUGCUUCCAAGAAAAGCUUCUAAGCUUCAGGUAACCAGGAACCGUACCCCAAACCGACACAGGUGGUCGGGUAGAGAAUACCAAGGCGCUUGAGAGAACUCGGGUGAAGGAACUAGGCAAAAUGGCACCGUAACUUCGGGAGAAGGUGCGCCGGCUAGGGUGAAGGAUUUACUCCGUAAGCUCUGGCUGGUCGAAGAUACCAGGCCGCUGCUCUUGAUCGAAGCCCCGGUAAACGGCGGCCGUAACUAUAACGGUCCUAAGGUAGCGAAAUUCCUUGUCGGGUAAGUUCCGACCUGCACGAAUGGCGUAACGAUGGCGGCGCUGUCUCCACCCGAGACUCAGUGAAAUUGAAAUCGCUGUGAAGAUGCAGUGUAUCCGCGGCUAGACGGAAAGACCCCGUGAACCUUUACUGUAGCUUUGCACUGGACUUUGAGCCUGCUUGUGUAGGAUAGGUGGGAGGCUUUGAAGCGUGGACGCCAGUUCGCGUGGAGCCAUCCUUGAAAUACCACCCUGGCAUGCUUGAGGUUCUAACUCUGGUCCGUGAUCCGGAUCGAGGACAGUGUAUGGUGGGCAGUUUGACUGGGGCGGUCUCCUCCUAAAGAGUAACGGAGGAGUACGAAGGUGCGCUCAGACCGGUCGGAAAUCGGUCGCAGAGUAUAAAGGCAAAAGCGCGCUUGACUGCGAGACAGACACGUCGAGCAGGUACGAAAGUAGGUCUUAGUGAUCCGGUGGUUCUGUAUGGAAGGGCCAUCGCUCAACGGAUAAAAGGUACUCCGGGGAUAACAGGCUGAUACCGCCCAAGAGUUCAUAUCGACGGCGGUGUUUGGCACCUCGAUG